ACUCUCAGCAACGGAUAUCUUGGCUCUUGCAACGAUGAAGAACGCAGCGAAAUGCGAUACGUAGUGUGAAUUGCAGAAUUCCGCGAAUCAUCGAGUUUUUGAACGCAAGUUGCGCCCGAGGCUCGUCCGAGGGCAUUUCCGCUAGAGCG
rnacentral:rRNA from 1 species